UUUUAGAAUAUAAAAUGCAUAUGGGCACCCAAAAAGAAUUAGUUUUUGGUUGUUUACAAUGCAUUCAAGUAUUUUUUUUCUGUUUUUAAAUAUUUUUUGACGUAUUUUCAGAUUUUUUUUUUAGUUUUUUCCGAUUAGUUUUUAGUAUAUUGUGUAUUAUUGUCUAAUAGUUAAUUUUAUAUAUUUCAUUAUAUUUCUCAUAGGUUCCAAUUUCUUAAAGAUAUGAGCUAUUCGAAUGUUGUAUAAUUUUCGUUUAGUUUUGAAUCGAUUCGAUUUGUUUAAUUUACACAAGACGACACUAAUUAGUGAUAUUGCAACAUAAUUUUGCAAUGAUCGUAUUCGUCAAAAUUUUGUAAUAAGUUUUGCCAUAUUUUUGCAAUAAUAAAUGCAAU
rnacentral:lncRNA from 1 species